rnacentral:rRNA from 1 species
GGGUUGUGAGGUUAAGCGACUAAGCGUACACGGUGGAUGCCCUGGCAGUCAGAGGCGAUGAAGGACGUGCUAAUCUGCGAAAAGCGUCGGUAAGGUGAUAUGAACCGUUAUAGCCGGCGAUGUCCGAAUGGGGAAACCCAGUGCAAUUCGUUGCACUAUCGUUAACUGAAUACAUAGGUUAACGAGGCGAACCGGGGGAACUGAAACAUCUAAGUACCCCGAGGAAAAGAAAUCAACCGAGAUUCCCCCAGUAGCGGCGAGCGAACGGGGAGCAGCCCAGAGUCUGAAUCAGCUUGUGUGUUAGUGGAACGGUCUGGAAAGUCCGACGGUACAGGGUGAUAGUCCCGUACACCAAAAUGCACAGGCUGUGAACUCGAAGAGUAGGGCGGGACACGUGGUAUCCUGUCUGAAUAUGGGGGGACCAUCCUCCAAGGCUAAAUACUCCUGACUGACCGAUAGUGAACCAGUACCGUGAGGGAAAGGCGAAAAGAACCCCGGCGAGGGGAGUGAAAAAGAACCUGAAACCGUGUACGUACAAGCAGUGGGAGCACCUUCGGGUGUGACUGCGUACCUUUUGUAUAAUGGGUCAGCGACUUAUAUUCUGUAGCAAGGUUAACCGUAUAGGGGAGCCGCAGGGAAACCGAGUCUUAACUGGGCGUUAAGUUGCAGGGUAUAGACCCGAAACCCGGUGAUCUAGCCAUGGGCAGGUUGAAGGUUGGGUAACACUAACUGGAGGACCGAACCGACUAAUGUUGAAAAAUUAGCGGAUGACUUGUGGCUGGGGGUGAAAGGCCAAUCAAACCGGGAGAUAGCUGGUUCUCCCCGAAAGCUAUUUAGGUAGCGCCUCGUGAACUCAUCUUCGGGGGUAGAGCACUGUUUCGGCUAGGGGGUCAUCCCGACUUACCAACCCGAUGCAAACUACGAAUACCGAAGAAUGUUAUCACGGGAGACACACGGCGGGUGCUAACGUCCGUCGUGAAGAGGGAAACAACCCAGACCGCCAGCUAAGGUCCCAAAGUCAUGGUUAAGUGGGAAACGAUGUGGGAAGGCACAGACAGCCAGGAUGUUGGCUUAGAAGCAGCCAUCAUUUAAAGAAAGCGUAAUAGCUCACUGGUCGAGUCGGCCUGCGCGGAAGAUGUAACGGGGCUAAACCAUGCACCGAAGCUGCGGCAGCGACACUAUGUGUUGUUGGGUAGGGGAGCGUUCUGUAAGCCUGCGAAGGUGUGCUGUGAGGCAUGCUGGAGGUAUCAGAAGUGCGAAUGCUGACAUAAGUAACGAUAAAGCGGGUGAAAAGCCCGCUCGCCGGAAGACCAAGGGUUCCUGUCCAACGUUAAUCGGGGCAGGGUGAGUCGACCCCUAAGGCGAGGCCGAAAGGCGUAGUCGAUGGGAAACAGGUUAAUAUUCCUGUACUUGGUGUUACUGCGAAGGGGGGACGGAGAAGGCUAUGUUAGCCGGGCGACGGUUGUCCCGGUUUAAGCAUGUAGGCUGGUUGUCCAGGCAAAUCCGGAUAAUCAAGGCUGAGGUGUGAUGACGAGGCACUACGGUGCUGAAGUAACAAAUGCCCUGCUUCCAGGAAAAGCCUCUAAGCAUCAGGUAACAU